rnacentral:rRNA from 1 species
GAUGAACGCUGGCGGCGUGCCUAAUACAUGCAAGUCGAGCGAACAGACGAGGAGCUUGCUCCUCUGACGUUAGCGGCGGACGGGUGAGUAACACGUGGAUAACCUACCUAUAAGACUGGGAUAACUUCGGGAAACCGGAGCUAAUACCGGAUAAUAUAUUGAACCGCAUGGUUCAAUAGUGAAAGACGGUUUUGCUGUCACUUAUAGAUGGAUCCGCGCCGCAUUAGCUAGUUGGUAAGGUAACGGCUUACCAAGGCAACGAUGCGUAGCCGACCUGAGAGGGUGAUCGGCCACACUGGAACUGAGACACGGUCCAGACUCCUACGGGAGGCAGCAGUAGGGAAUCUUCCGCAAUGGGCGAAAGCUUGACGGAGCAACGCCGCGUGAGUGAUGAAGGUCUUCGGAUCGUAAAACUCUGUUAUUAGGGAAGAACAAAUGUGUAAGUAACUAUGCACGUCUGGACGGUACCUAAUCAGAAAGCCACGGCGAACUACGU